rnacentral:rRNA from 1 species
UCGAGAAUUUUUCACAAUGGGCGAAAGCCUGAUGGAGCGACGCCGCGUGGGGGAUGAAUGGCUUCGGCCCGUAAACCCCUGUCAUUUGCGAUCAAACCUGCAGACCUAAUACGUCUGCAGCUGAUAGUAGCGAAAGAGGAAGGGACGGCUAACUCUGUGCCAGCAGCCGCGGUAAUACAGAGGUCCCAAGCGUUGUUCGGAUUCACUGGGCGUAAAGGGUGCGUAGGCGGUGGGGAAAGUUUGGUGUGAAAUCUUCGGGCCCAACCCGGAAACUGCACGAAAAACUUCCUCGCUCGAGGACUGGAGGGGAGACUGGAAUUCUCGGUGUAGCGGCGAAAUGCGUAGAUAUCGAGAGGAACACCUGUGGCGAAGGCGGGUCUCUGGACAGUUUCUGACGCUGAGGCACGAAAGCUAGGGGAGCAAACAG